GUGCUGGAACCCGGGCCUCAGCCGCAGCCGCAGCGGGGCCGACAGAGGUGGCUGAUGCCCUGGGAGGGGGUGCGGACCCAGAAACCAACUCGACCAGCAACAGCAGCCACUCAGCCUGGGACCUGGGCAGCGCCUUCUUUUUCUCAGGGACCAUCAUCACCACCAUCGGUGGGGGAGGGGAUUGGCAUGUGGGGGGCGGCAAGGAGCUUCCUCAUGGGGGAAGGUGCAGGGAGACGGAGGGGUCCCAGGUGGCCCCUAGACUUCCUGCAUCGCCCCUCUGCCCAGGAUAUGGCAAUGUGGCCCUGCGCACAGAUGCCGGGCGCCUCUUCUGCAUCUUUUAUGCGCUGGUGGGGAUUCCGCUGUUUGGGAUCCUACUGGCAGGGGUCGGGGACCGGCUGGGCUCCUCCCUGCGCCAUGGCAUCGGUCACAUUGAAGCCAUCUUCUUGGUGAGCUGCUCCAUGCCCUGCCUGCCCUUGUGCUGGGCUCCGGCUACCCUUCCCCAUGUCCCUGGCACAUGAGCGCGCCCCCAAAG
rnacentral:sRNA from 1 species